rnacentral:lncRNA from 12 species
ACACAACGAGGGGAAAUGACGUGCAGAGAAAACACAUUAUUCUGUAUGUGGCAAAUUGAACACCAAUAAAAAAUAAAUUUAUUAUUAAAAAAAAAAGGAAAGGAUGGUCUUCAUAAGGGCUGUGGGUGACAUUAGCUGCUGCAUGCAGGAGGAUCACACCGACCUUCUCCUGGUAGCUGCAAGAUUCAUUAACUGUGUGUAAAUACUGGUGUUAAGCUCUGUUUGCUUCCCGCUUACCGUCUACACACCUGGGGAGCCCAAUCUACUCACAAGAAGGCUUAUUCUGUUCUGACCACAGAGAGUUCAUCAGACGCUUCACGUGAUAGCCCUACUGAGAAACACACCCUGACAACUCUCCGUCCACAUUUACUGUGGAGGCUGAUACAGAAGACCGAUGAGCGACGACUUGUGCUGGUGGAACCCUUGGUGGGGACUUGGGGUCCUCCCACUGACCCUGGGAAUCGGACGCUCCCUGUUAUUGGCAUUUGUACCUGUGCUGCUGUGUCGGUGGGCAGUUCAGUGCCCUCGACCUCCAGGCCCGCCCCGCAGCACAGGCUCCGCCACAGGGCAGAGGACUCGGGCUCGGCUGCCCUUGACAGUGAGCACGGCCCCCACCGUCUGAGCAGAGGCCGCUGGAGAGAGAUUGCAGGAGGAAGGGGCUUCCCAGGGUUGUGGCCGCAGCACGGUGGUCGGCGGGGGUGUGAGACCGUGUGGAGGAGUCUUGCCCCAGCCCCGCGGCCAGCACGGCCAGUCCUGGGGGCAUUGCACACGCGGUCUGGGUGGGCACCACAGUCUCCAGCGCCUCUCGGAGGGCGCCUGCAUCCCAAGGACCCCUCUCCUGCACAGUCCCAACUCCCCCAGCAGGACCUGCUAGUGGCCUGGGGGUCCCACGAGCCCGUGUCUCCCUGCAGGCCCCACGUGCCCACCUCCACCCUGAGCCCCGUCUCUCUGCAUAUUCAGGCCAGGGGGUGCUGA